rnacentral:lncRNA from 1 species
AAAACAGUGCAUUGCCCUCAGCACCUUUUGAUGUGAAAAAUAUUGCCGUUUCGUUUCAAGCGACAGUUUCAGCCCUCCUGGAUUUUGCGAAAACUAACAGAAGAGCCGGCUUCUAACAUCGUGAGAAGACGCAACAUUGUGAUUGAAGGGGCAUUUCCCAAGAAUGGGGAAGAAGAUAAAGCGCCACUUUGUUGAGGAUCAGGUGGUGGCGAUCGACCCUCUUCCUUUUACCUGGAGGGUGAAAGGGCCUGGACCUCUACUGUCUGGAUUUGAAGAUGUCUCGACUUAAACAACUGGUGUUUGCCUUUGAAUUCGGAUCUGUGGACCCCAGGCAGUCGUUCCCAGUGACUGAAUUUCCUGCAAGGAUCGUUAAACCUGACAUCUCUUUAAAUGAGCUGGAAGAACUGCAACCUGAAGCGCUUUUUCCUUUUGAGAGUCUCUCUGAAUUGGAUGCAUCCCUCAACGCUUUAGGCGGCUCCAGCAUCCUGGGGAUUGGUGUUCUUCCCAACCUUGCUGUAUUGAACCUCAGCUACAAUGCGCUGAGCGAUGUGAGAGACUUAGGGAGCUGCACUCACCUGCUUGUCCUUAACUUGUCUCACAAUCAAGUGCGGACCCUCGAGCACAUGCCCCUCCUGAGUAACCUGACGCGGCUUCACUUAGGGUCCAACAAGCUGAGCUCCUUGGAAGGCAUGCAGAAUCUGCCCCAGCUCUGCGAACUCUACAUCCAGAGGAACCGGAUUUCCAGCUUGCUGCCACUCUCCUCCUCCCUGGCCCUCAACAUACUGGAUGCUUCCAGCAACAAGAUUGCCUGCCUGCAGUACACCCUGCAUGUGCUCAGGGGGCUUCGCAGACUGAGACACCUCAAACUUCAGGGCAACCCACUGGCUCGGGAUAACCGCUGCGCCACUGCAGUCAAACAGGCCCUGGCUGUGGAGACCCUGGACGAUGUGCUUCUUCGGUUGGGCCCUGCUCGGGGAAUCGCUGGCCAGUGUGAUGGACUCAAGCCAAACCAAGGAGGAUCUGAAAAUAUCAGCUAG